CAGCCGCCGCGGGAAUACGGAGGGGGCUAGCGUUGUCCGGAAUUACUGGGCGUAAAGCGCACGUAGGCGGCUUGGUAAGUUAGAGGUGAAAGCCCGGAGCUCAACUCCGGAAUUGCCUUUAAGACUGCCGAGCUAGUAGGUGAGAGAGGUAAGUGGAAUUCCGAGUGUAGAGGUGAAAUUCGUAGAUAUUCGGAAGAACACCAGUGGCGAAGGCGGCUUACUGGCUCAUUCUAGACGCUGAGGUGCGAAAGCGUGGGGAGCAAACAGGAUUAGAUACCCCAGUAGUCCCUGUCUCUUAUAC
rnacentral:rRNA from 1 species